ensembl:lncRNA
AUAGGUAAAUUAGAAAAUAUAUAACAAUGACACGUAUGAAAAAUUAUCAUUUAUGCAAAUAAGUUGUGUUGUUUUUGUUGACACUGUCUAAAGUGUACUCUACAAAAUGUGUGUGUGUGUGUAUGUGUGUAGUUUUCAAAAUGUCUCGAAGGAAGUUCAAGCCUUGCCCCUCCUGCCAAGCACUUAACCAGGUGAGCCUCAAAACCUGCAGCUCUUGUUUUGCAGCCAUCACCCAAAAAAAAAAAGUAGCAGCCAAAAAAGUGACCCUGGACAGGAAGUGGGGGGAAAGGGUCCUAAAAAAUAGAAAUGCUGGAAGAGUGGUGGACUCUGCCCAUAUUGCAGUAAGUAGAAAUGCUCAUAUUUCAUUAAGCAAUAUAAUUUGUUUCACUUUCAUUAAUAUUGUAUGGUAGGGCAAGGGCCUCGUUUUACAAAAAUAAGUUUAAUCUGUCAGUGAAUGAAUUUGAGGUUGUCAUAGAUUGCAUUCGUGUAACAUAUUAUUUUAAUUAAUUUGUAAUUUGCUUGACACGCAUGGAAUAGACUUUCUUUUUGACCAGGCGCUCAUGUACAUUUGUUUACAUAUACAACCGCCUACAUUGUAAAUAUAACUUUGCUUUAGUAAUACACAGGUACUUCAGUAUGCGUGUUAUUGAAGUCUCUGUCUCUGCUAAAGGCAAUUCAAAGAAUUCAGACCCAGAGUCACUAUUAAAGACAGUCUUGCAUGAUUAUGUAAGUAGAUAACAUGCUCCUACCUUGCACUACCACCCCUACCGUGUGAAUAUUUCAUCUCACCCUUAUAGUGUCUUCACUGCGUUAAUUUUAGAGAAAGUGCGUGAUGAUGUGGCAAAAUAACAUGCGUGUAAGCCAUACUGUGUGCAACAUAUGUGUUGUUAAAAGCAAGGCCAUAUUCCAGGUGUCCUAUUUCAAAGCCACAACUUAAAAACAUUUUAAUUACUACAGGGGAGAUAGUAAUGUCACAUUAAAAGUGGAAAGGAUUCAACCAUACCUACUGGAGUAGGACCGCUGUCUAUUUUAUGUCCGUUGGUGGCAU